rnacentral:rRNA from 1 species
CACGUAGGCACCAAGCGUUGUCCGGAUUUAUUGGGCGUAAAGAGCUCGUAGGCGGUUCAGUAAGUCGGGUGUGAAAACUCUGGGCUUAACCCAGAGCCGCCACUCGAUACUGCUGUGACUUGAGUUCGGUAGGGGAGCAGGGAAUUCCUGGUGUAGAGGUGAAAUUCGUAGAUAUUCGGAAGAACACCAGUGGCGAAGGCGGCUCACUGGACUGGUAUUGACGCUGAGGUGCGAAAGCGUGGGGAGCAAACAGGG